UAUGGAAUUCCACAAAAAUGAAUAACUAUUGAAUGAGAGUUCUGAUUUAUCAGCUCGCAUCUAAUAGUUAUUCUUUUUUGUGAUAGUUUCAUAUAUCAGCUGUAAAAAAGUUAUAUUGGUCACAAAUGAAACAGUUCAAAACUUUUCUAAUGAAAUAAAGGACUAACUAUGAAUUUAGAAAAACAGAACUUUAUAAAGAACAUCUAAAUACUUUUAAAUCUCGAUCUUUCUCUGAAAUU
rnacentral:lncRNA from 1 species